UACGAAGGGGGCUAGCGUUGUUCGGAAUCACUGGGCGUAAAGGGCGCGUAGGCGGCCGAUCAAGUCGGGGGUGAAAGCCUGUGGCUCAACCACAGAAUGGCCUUCGAUACUGUUUGGCUUGAGACCGGAAGAGGUCAGUGGAACUGCGAGUGUAGAGGUGAAAUUCGUAGAUAUUCGCAAGAACACCAGUGGCGAAGGCGGCUGACUGGUCCGGUUCUGACGCUGAGGCGCGAAAGCGUGGGGAGCAAACAAG
rnacentral:rRNA from 1 species